UACGAAGGGGGCUAGCGUUGUUCGGAAUCACUGGGCGUAAAGGGCGCGUAGGCGGCUUUGUAAGUCGGGGGUGAAAGCCUGUGGCUCAACCACAGAAUUGCCUUCGAUACUGCAUGGCUUGAGACCGGAAGAGGUAAGUGGAACUGCGAGUGUAGAGGUGAAAUUCGUAGAUAUUCGCAAGAACACCAGUGGCGAAGGCGGCUAUCUGGACCGACAUUGACGCUGAGGCGCGAAAGCGUGGGGAGCAAACAGG
rnacentral:rRNA from 1 species